rnacentral:misc_RNA from 1 species
GUGAAUCAUCAAAUUUUUGAACGCAAAUUGCACUCUCCUCGGAGAGGAUGCCUGUUUGAGGGUCAGCCUAUAAAAACUCGACAUCGUUGCUGUUUCGCGGUGGCGUUCGUCGGAAAUUGGGUCACCUUAAAUCGUUUGGAUUUAUGCGACUUAAAAUAUUCUUUUUGGUUCCAUGAACGUUUCUAAGAUUUAUUUCUUUACACGUUUAAGGUAUCGAUUUUUAUUAGACGUGAACCUCAUAUCGGAUCGGGACUAUAA